rnacentral:rRNA from 1 species
ACGCUAGCGGGAUGCCUUACACAUGCAAGUCGAACGGCAGCACGGACUUCGGUCUGGUGGCGAGUGGCGAACGGGUGAGUAAUGUAUCGGAACGUGCCCAGUAGCGGGGGAUAACUACGCGAAAGCGUAGCUAAUACCGCACACGCCCUUCGGGGGAAAGCAGGGAUCGUAAGACCUUGCACUAUUGGAGCGGCCCGAUAUCGGAUUAGCUAGUUGGUGAGGUAAUGGCUCACCAAGGCCGCGAUCCGUAGCUGGUUUGAGAGGACGACCAGCCACACUGGGACUGAGACACGGCCCAGACUCCUACGGGAGGCAGCAGUGGGGAAUUUUGGACAAUGGGGGAAACCCUGAUCCAGCCAUCCCGCGUGUGCGAUGAAGGCCUUCGGGUUGUAAAGCACUUUUGGCAGGAAAGAAACGGCGCGUGCUAAUACCAUGCGCAACUGACGGUACCUGCAGAAUAAGCACCGGCUAACUACGUGCCAGCAGCCGCGGUAAUACGUAGGGUGCAAGCGUUAAUCGGAAUUACUGGGCGCAAAGCGUGCGCAGGCGGUUCGGAAAGAAAGAUGUGAAAUCCCAGGGCUCAACCUUGGAACUGCAUUUUUAACUACCGGACUAGGGUAUGUCAGAGGGGGGUGGAAUUCCACGUGUAGCAGUGAAAUGCGUAGAUAUGUGGAGGAACACCGAUGGCGAAGGCAGCCUCCUGGGAUAAUACUGACGCUCAUGCACGAAAGCGUGGGGAGCAAAC